rnacentral:ribozyme from 1 species
UUCUUUAGAUUUUUUUUGCAUUUUUGCAUUUUUCGAUUUUUCAUUUUUUUUGCAUUUUGUAUUUAGCAAUAGGAAAGAAGAAGAAACCAGGAGGAA